AGAUGGUUCUGGGUGCGGCAGCCUCGACGUCAGUAAGUGUCGUCCGUUGGCAGCUGCUUGCUCGUGCGCCUGAGAGCGAGUCGCGUGAGCUCACGGAGUUGCGCGAGGCGGGGCGUCCGUCCGACCUCUCUCUCUCCCCUCCCCCCCACCCCCCCAAUUGUGUGUGUCUGUCAGGUAGAGAGUGUACUGUUCACAGCAACGCUGUCAGCUUGACCGCCAACAUCGCUGAGGGAGUGUUGCACUAUCUUUUGGGUGAGGACUGUUCAAAUAGAUGUGAAAGAUGUUGUCAGCAUCACUUCGAAGCAGAGCAGAGAGAAUCCUCUCUUCCUAACCUGUAACUCCAGCUCAAAACCUUCAACGUAAACCUCUAAUCCAGUUGUACUUCUGAGAUCCCAGCCAGGCCUAGGGAAGAAAGAAAUGAAGCUGCAACUGAUAUACCAGAAG